GUACAGCACGUUUGGAUUGGUCCUUACAGGGUCUCUAGGGUUUGGGAUUAGUGGGAAUGGAGAGACAUUGAGCAAUAAGACUCAGGCCUGGUGCAGGAAUGGGAGCAAGAAGAAGAAGAGAUUAUUUUGAGGAAAGGUCAAUGAAAGCUUUUAACCAGGAACAGCUUGGAGAAGUUUUGAAGUUGUUAAGAGCAAAGACCUACAGGAUGAACCCCUCUGGGGAUCUAGGGUGUGCAAUGCUUAUUUGAGGUAAAAUGAGUUCAUGGGGUCCUCACCUGAAGUAAGUAGUGAUUUAGGGGGAUAGGAAAUGCACUCUAGUGCCACAUUCCUUGUCCACUGCUCCAUCCUCACUAUCAAGUCAAUGGACACAUGGCUACCCUGAGACCCGAGGGUUAUAUACCCCAGGCUCUUCAGACUGUUCUGGGUGCCACAGAUCAUCGUAAUUCAGCCCAACGCCCCACCACAGCUGUGGCUUUGAGGAGCACCUGUCCAGUGCACAGUGUCUUCCACAAGCAGACGCAGUAAGUGACAACAAAUGAUUUUCACCCUGCUUGCGGCACAAGUGGAGUAAAAUGAUUGAGAAGGACAGCUAAACAUCAGGGGAAACUCAAACCAGUGGCUCCUCCUAAGAAUCUCCAUUCUUACGAACAACAUUUAGAAGGGUGCAGUUGUGGUUGUUCCUCGUUCUGACUGUUCUGCCCCCUCCUCUCACUGUUGGUGGCUACUUGUCUUGGCUCAGUAGGGAAGCUUUGGAGUCUGACAGACGGGAGUUGGAAUGUGAACUUGCCCAUUCGUCCAUCCGUCCAUCCAUCCAUCCAUCCAUCCAUCCAUCCAGGACUGCCUAUACAAUUUGUGGGGAUCCAGUGAAAAAUGAAAAUGUAAAGCCUCUUGUUAAAAAAUUAAUCACACACAAAGUGCAAGGACCAGAAUAAGGAUUCCGGUUUGAGCCCCCGGCUCCCCACCUGCAGGGGAAUCACUUCACAGGCAGUGAAGCAGGUCUGCAGGUGUCUCUCUUUCUCUCUCUCCAUUUCUCUCUGUCCUUUCUAACAACAACAUCAUCAUCAACGACAAAAACAAUAAUAAAAGAAAAACAACAAGAGCAACAAAAGGGAAAAUAAAUUAAAAAAAUUAAUCACAAGACAGUGACAGUAGAGUAUUAAGGCUAGUGUGAGGUAAGUGUAAGGGCCCAUGUGACUGCACAAAUCACACACCUGUUAAGCCAGCCUGGAACUCUGUUGCUAAGUGAGACAGACUAGGGUGCUGAUCCCAUAGGUUUCACAUUUAAGUGACUAAACAAUAUUAAUGGAGCUUUAUGGGUAUUAGACUAUUUAAUUAAUAAUAUAAUUUCAGGUGUAAUAAGUGUCAAAGAGAGGUCAAGGCAGGUAAUUGGUUCACAAUGGAUGGGGCAAGGUUGGAGCUUGGGGGGUUGUGGAAGGGCUUAUGUUUGAGAGAAACCUAAGUCACAGGAGGGGCUGGAAUGACUUCCAGGAAGAGGAACAGCAAAGGCAAAGGCCUUUAGAGCAGCCAACCUAGGCUCCUAGCAUGGGACUGUAUGUAUCAGACAUUCAGGAAAUAUUUGCUAGAUGGAUGAAUAGAAGAAAGGAAAGACAGAUUAAUUAAAUCACAAACAAAUGAAUGAACUACUCAGCCAGAUUUUCAAGUGUCUCCACCAUCUGGGCUCACUCCAUCUCUUAGCUCUUCAUUUCUCUGCUUUCCAACCUCUCAAAAAUUCCACUCUGGUUAGGUUGGUCUGUUUACACAUUUAUGAAUAUACUAAACUUUUUCUUCCUUCUCCUCCCCAUCAGUCUCCCAGCCCCUUCCCUAUUUCUGUUGUUCUCCAGGAUCCAAAUGAAGACUCACCACCUCCUGUAGCUUUUAUGAAGACUGCUCUCAGAAAACCACAUCAACUUGUUUAUUUUAAAUAUGUGUCUAUUAAAUUUUAUGGCAGAGAA